UAGCAAGGUUUAGAGAUUAGACAGAGUUGGAGUGCUCUCUCCUUGACACGUCCUGCUAAGCAGUUAUGUCGUUGGGACUUCAGUCUCGGAGCUGACUGUUGACUCGGUGAGCACACACAGCACGAUCGUUUGCAAUCUGGACCGGAUAGGUUGCAUUAUGAAAUCUGUACUGGUUACAUUUUGUCUGGAGUUUAUGAGUUCAGCAAGUCCGCUGGCAGAAUGCGUCGAGCUGAGCUACCUGGGAAUGUUGUCUGUGAUCAAAGGGCAGAUAACAUUCUCACAGCAGGGUUCGAGAAACUCUCAACCGCCACCGGAGAGGAGACAGGUGUUACUUUUCACCGUGUCAUGCCUUGAGGUCUCAGUCUCUAGUUACUGGCUGCGGGCCAAACUUAGACAGGCUAUGUUAAGAACACUUGUGUGUGUGUGAGAGAGAGAGAGAGAGAGAGAGAGAGAGAGAGAGAGAAAGGAGAAUAGAGAGAGAGAGGGAGAGAGAGAGAGAGAGUGAGAGAGAGAGAAAGAGAGAGGGAGAGAGAGAGCGAGAGGGAGAGUGAAAGAGAGAGAAGAGAGAGGGAGAAGGAGAAAUAGAGAGACGAGGAGAGAAGAGAGAGAGGGAGAGAGAGUGAGAGAGAGAGAGAGGGAGAGUGAAGAGAGAGGGAGAGAGAGAGAGAGGGAGGAGGAGAAAUAGAGAGAGAGGGAGAGAGAGAGCGAGAGGGAGAGUGAACAGAGAGGGAGAGAGA
ensembl:lncRNA